rnacentral:lncRNA from 1 species
UAGUUUUUAAUCUAUUAAUCCAAAGAGCCCAAGAGCUCAUACUGAAGCCAUGACCCCAACUAUUGCAUUAUGAUCUUCAUUAUGGUCCAUCUACACAAAAUAAUUCCACAAAAAUAUUUGAACAUUACGAAAAAUAAUUUCAAGUUGUGGUUGAGCUCAAGAACUAAUGAAACCAACAUCAGCAAUAAAAAAUACAAACCAAACCUAAACCACAAGACAACCACACCAAAUCACAUAGCGAGUACCUCAAGAAACAACUCAAAUCACAAGACAAUCAGAAGAACGCAUGCCCACGUUAACAAAAAAAAACAAUGCACCAAGGCAUAAACACUGCUUGUUUAGCCACUUGUUAUAUGCACUUAGUUCUUCAUUCAUCCUUAAACCCACAUAAAGAAAUAUUGAACCAUUGAUAAUUCCUUACUUACUUGCAUUAGCUACGAACUCAACCUUCACCCAACUUCUAUGACUAUAUCGCAUUUCAUGUAAAAAUUCUAUACACAUCACCCUUUUGGUCACAAUUGAAAUCCUAAAGGAUCAAUCAUUUCAAUUACUAAUAUGUAGCUAAAAAACAUGCAGAUCAGAAGCAUGAUAAGUUAGGAACAAUAACACAACCAAAGAAACACACACAAUCAUUGCAAUGGAGAGUAAACAAACAAAACUCAUAUAUAUUAAGAAUGGAACAAAUAUUAUAAUUGUAAUAUGCUUAAUAUUAUUUUUGAAAAAAUAAUUUUGAAAUUUCAUUGAGACAUUUCAACAAACACCAAACAGACACAAUCACUAAACAAAUUAAAACAUAGUUACUUAAGCUCAAGCUAACCCUGCAACUUUUACUUAGAAGUAUAAUUGCUAUCAACAAUUUUACCAAAACAAACAUCUAAAAAAAUAAUUUACAAUUAUGUCUUUCAGUGUUCCAACAAGAACAACUCAAUUCUUAAGGAAAAAGCCCAACAUCUAUUAAAUAAACCCAAAGAGCUAAAGCAAAUAGACAUACUAUCAAUAUCAAUGAACUGAUUUCGCCAAAUCAUUGGCAGAAUCAAAUUGACACCAGCAUCAAAAGAAAAUUUUGCUCUUAAAAGUAAAAAGACGACAGAAAACUUCUUGCAUUAUUCUCAACGAAGCAAUUCACUAGCUUUAGAAAUUCUCAACACUUACUUGUACGAAGGCCCUAAAAAGAUAAGCAAAGGCAAAAUUAACAGUAGUAAAAACCAUGCCAAGAGUUGGCAAGAGUUAAUUUUUUUUGUAUUUAUCGUUAAAGUUAAAAAACGUAUUUAUCGUUAAUUAAUGUCUAAAUGAAGAUUCAAUCUGACCCAUUAGAUAAUAAUCUUUACUAUUAAUUUAGUAUUGGACAUAAAUGGAGGAAUUUUGUAUUGGAUGGAACGUAACCCUUUAGAUCCUAACUCCAAAACUACAUUAAUUAGAAUUAAUCAAAUAAUGUACUUCAUUGAAACUGAUAAAACCGUAUGUGUUAAUUAAAUUGAUUUUAACCCAUUUUCUCUAAUCGAAUCAAAGCUACAAACCACCAAAAUUUCCCAAAAUAUUUUCUAUUUUAUUAGUCGCAACUCACAAUCGUCGUCCAAACAAUACAAGCCAUUUCACACUAGCAAGUUAUGAUCAAUAAACCAACAUACAUCUUCAACACAACAAGAGAAAACAAAGCGAACCAAAUUGAAAAAAGUAUAGGAGAGUAAUGGGAAAUAGCAAUAGGAUCGAAAAAAAUAAAUAUGGCAAAGUGAUGCGGAGACAAAGGCAGAGACCAAAGAACAGAAAUCGAACCAAUCUUCAAGUUAAGCUGAGGGUUUCAAAACUUACCUUCUUUUUAUGGUCUUUAGCUAGGUUGUCAAAAACUUGAAGGCAAUAAAAGGGUUAGGUCAAGGACUAGAGGCGGCGGAGGGAUGGGUAAAAUGGGAGGACAAGAAGACAAGGCGACGGAGGGAUUGGAGAGAUGGGUGAAUUUUCUGGUUAGUUUACCAGGGCAUGUGAAGAGGAGAAACGAUUGGAAAAUGUCUUACGAGAUUAGAAAGCGUAAGACAUUUCCCUAAAACAGACUUUCAUUCUAUUGUGUUUUGGAGAGGGAUUUCCUUCGGUAACACAUUUUCCACCAAACAAACAUGGGAAAACAAUAAAAAUGUUAAAAAC